GACGAACGCUGGCGGCGUGCUUAACACAUGCAAGUCGAACGAUGAAGCCGGAGCUUGCUCUGGUGAAUUAGUGGCGAACGGGUGAGUAACACGUGAGUAACCUGCCCUUGACUCUGGGAUAACUGCGGGAAACUGUAGCUAAUACCGGAUACGACCCUCGGAGGCAUCUCCUGGGGGUGGAAAGAAUUUCGGUCAAGGAUGGACUCGCGGCCUAUCAGCUAGUUGGUGAGGUAACGGCUCACCAAGGCGACGACGGGUAGCCGGCCUGAGAGGGUGACCGGCCACACUGGGACUGAGACACGGCCCAGACUCCGACGGGAGGCAGCAGUGGGGAAUAUUGCACAAUGGGCGCAAGCCUGAUGCAGCAACGCCGCGGGAGGGAUGACGGCCUUCGGGUUGUAAACCUCUUUUAGCAGGGAAGAAGCGAAAGUGACGGUACCUGCAGAAAAAGCACCGGCUAACUACGUGCCAGCCGCCGCGGUAA
rnacentral:rRNA from 1 species